GCCAGAAAAGCUGGUGAACUGCAGACCUGGUGUUGCUUGGAGUAAUGAGUGACUUCAGCAGGACAACAGGAACUGCACCCUCAGCACAGGGAAGGGGCCAAGUCUGAUGCAGUGCCCAGUCCUGCAGUCAUCAAGGCUUACAGGUCCAAGCUCCUCCUUUAGCACAAAUUCCAUUUCGUAGAAUCAUGGAACAGUUUGCAAUGGAAGUGACCUUAAAGAUCAUUUAGUUCUACCCCCAAUUUACCAUGGACUCCUACAGAAACAAGCUCUGACACCCAAAAACAUUUCCAGUUAUAAAUCAGCAGUUCUCUCUGACAAAAGCAAUCAGACUCAAGGUAAAUGCCUUGUUGCUGUUACCUGGUGGCUUCCACUCACCAUCCCUUUCCCACUGCACACAAAUAUGGAUGAAAGCACAGCUGUGCUAAACCAAAGGCAGACAAAAGAAAGUUGUCCUCACUGCUGGCAUUUUUUUUUGUGUGCAUAUUUUAUGUUUGGUUUUCUGUUUGUUCCCAAACAUUUACUUCAUAUGGCCUGGCUGCUAAAGCCCAGCUCAGAAGAAGGACAGUGCCAAAGCCCAGUGCAGGGAUCUGUGCUGUGCCACAGAGUUUGUUGCCAUCUCCAGGCAGAGCAGUGAGUGUUCACCCCACCGGGACACUGGCAGUCAGCUGAACUGUAAUGUGUAAAGAGAUAUUAGGAGAGUAUGAGGAGAACUAGGAGUGGAUUAAAGAAAUCAAUAUUUAAGUAAUGGUUGUUGGCUUACAACAUGACUAGAAAUCCACUGAAAUGAAAAAAAAAAAAAAGCUUUCAACACAUUUCAGAGAAAAAAUAUAUCUUCACUGUGCUGCCAUUUACUUCAGUGGAAAUAAAUUAGGGGAAUAGUUUUAGCUCAUGUAGGUUGCUGUAGAGUCCAUGUACAAGUGUCUGGUUGAAGUAAGUGAAGUCUGGUUUAGCUGGAGCACAAUGCAAGCACUCAGGUUGGAGCUGCCAGGUAUUCUUAGAGCUUCACAAAAUGCAGAGGAAAUAGAAAUCCAGAGUGACAGCUGAGCUCAUCAUAACAUAAUGAGCACACUGCAAAAGUGCAAUAUAACAUCCCAGCAUGCAUUAGGGAAAGUCACAAAUAAUCAAAGGGUACUUCUGUGUACCACUAAGUACCAGGGAUAGUUAUUAAUACUAAUUGGAUGGCAUAGGAUUGGGAAUAGAAUCAAAAAUCAAAUGGGAUUUGAGGAAAACUAACUACAAAAUAUAUGGUGAUGCAGAAGCUAAAAUGCUACUGUCCUAGUGUGUUAAUCUACAACACCCUGAACACAUCAUUGCAUGGAGAAAGUAGAUAGAAAAGUGUUAAUAUGCGUACAAAAAUGUUGAGACUAACCAGGGAUUUAUUUGCACUUUUAUUGCAGGGGUUUAUCAAGUUUGUGAGGCAGUAAAAUUUCAAGUUUUUCAAGCUGAUCUUGACCAAAAUUUGACGUCUGGGAGCUGCAAGGGAGGGAGGGUGCUCACAGUCCGCUGAGAAAAGGCCUCUGCCCUCCAUUUACUUUUAAUUUUUCUUCCAACAAAAAUAAAUGUUUUAAAAAUAGCCAUGGUUAAUGCAGGUCCCAUAAACAUUAUUGCUGUCUUAGGUUAUGUACACACACUUAUCCAUGGAAUGUGGCACUUACUUAAGGAUCUGCCCUGUUACACUAUUAUUUUGGGGAUGCAGAGCUACCCCAGGUCAAUAGGCUUUAGAAAGGGAUUGUAGGAUGUAAGGAGAUUCAUUGACUCUCUGGCAAGUUGUACCUAAUACCUUCUCUAAAAGCCAACAGAUGGUGUGUGAACAGGCAGCAAAGCUUAUUUUCAGAAAUAUCACAACACCAGACAGUGCAAGCACAGGCAUAAGGCCACAGAUAUAAACUCGAAGUUAUUUUCAAGCACCAUUAGUAACAAGGAAAGAAAAUCAAUACAGGACUGCCAGGUGGAAGCAGAUGGGUUUUCUCACUGUAAGAUGAGCUAGAAAUCAGAUCCCAAUUUCACCUCCAAAGGAACACAGUUAAGGAGAGUCAUAAAGGUUAUAAACCAUCCCUGGAACCUAUUCGACAACAUCCUCUUAUUGCAGCUGAUGUCAAAACCUUUCUUGACAGACCUGCCUUUGCUAAUAGUCUGCUGUCAUUUCAAAAGCACUCACGACUUACAGGAAACCUGCUAGAUCCUGUAAAACCCAUCUCCUUUAGCCUCUUCUUAAACCAUAAUAUUCUACCAGGAGUUCUUGACCUGCAGUUCCAGUUCCAAACAGAGUUCCUGAAGUAUUUUCACGCAAACUCCUGCAAGGAGAUAUUAGAGGUAUUAGGUAUUUGAGAGAUAUCUCACACAAAACAUUAUAUCAUAUAUCAUCAUUAAACAACCCACAGAUGCCUCUGCCCUCCAGACUCCUGCAAAAACACCAGGCUGGUGGAACUGGGACAAUCCUGCCACUUCCAGCAUGAUUUGAAGGAGGUCCCACAAAGACUUCCACAGUUUGUCCUUUGCCUCCCAGAGCUCAGAUAACCUGGGGAGAAUACAGAAACAAUGCUCUAACCUACGUAGGUCCAUCCUUGUUUGUUCAACAGGAUAUACAUCCCAUGUACUUACAUCAUCCAGGGGUGGUGGUGAGCAGUUCUCAAGAUGAGCUCACCCUGGUUCUCCUAUGUGCCAUAUGGUCCCAGACCUUCUCUCUAAUAUAAAUAACUACUGUUACAGUAAUGUAUAGCUUUGAGAGAACAACCAGCUACAAGCUCUUGCCUCUCAUUGCCUUGCAUUAGGCAGGAUGUGAGUCUUUCCCUCUAUAUCCACACGCACUGGUCCUGAUAAAAUUAUUCUUCUUGCUGGUGGGAACUACAGAAUUCACUCCAAGUCCAGAAUGACAACCAAAACAAUCAUUUCAGCAGCUGACAUUGAUAUUUCUCACCUUUUUUGUCUUUCAAAGCACUGUUUCAAUUCGCAAUAAACACAGAAUUAAAUAUACUGCUGCAUCUUGAUAUGAAAUAACAUUAUUCCAAAUACUUUUAUUAAGGGGACAGAUUUUGGCAGUCUUCCUCCUGCAGAAGAGAAUCUUACUUCACAAGGAACUGUCUCCAGCUUCCUCAUUUCUCAUUCAAUCCCACUAACACUGCUCAUAUAAAGGAGGGAGGUAGAAUAUGGCCAUUGUGACCUGCCCUGUAGUUAACCUAUAACAAAAUCUCUUCCAGCUGCUCUAGUAUUGGUGGCCCGUGUUCCACAAAAGGCCGUGGUUUUCCACUCCCUGCACACUCUACAAAUCACUUGGUGGUCUGUCAUGCUAAGCACUGUGAUCUGUCUGGUAUCUGCCAUCUCUAAGGAAGUGUGGGGGAGAAGAACCAAGAAAUGGGUUGGGAAAGGAGAAAAGCCUUGGCCAUGCUGCCACACAAACCAAGAAACAGUCACUGUUUCCCCCAGAAACAGUCACUGCAUUGCAACUCUCAUCAAGAGGCUGAAAGCCACACCAAGGGUGGGAAAACCACUGUAGCAAACAGAGAACAACAGGAAAAAAAAAUUUCCCUACAGGUGACUGUCUGGAUACAAUGACAAGAAUGCAUGGGCUUCACUUCCCAUCGACGGCAAGCUGUUGAGAUCCCAUCCAAGAUAUUGUCCCAAAACUCCAGAGAUCCAAACUGAGAACCCUUUACAGGAGCUUGGAAAAAGUUGCAAAAUACCUUGCAAGAAAUUUCUAUUGCUGCCUCCCCUCAUAUACCCCUCUGUUGCACCCAGCCUCACAUACAGCAGUGACACAGUGGUUGGUCACACCAAUGGUAUCUGUCCAGCAGGUGCAUUUUCACUGUGCAAGCUGCCCUGUCCUCACAAAAAUCACAGAAUAAUUUUGGUUGGAAAAGACCUCUAAGGUCAUCAAGUCCAACCAUCAAUCCAGCACUGCCAAGCCCGUCACUAAGCCACAUCCCUAAGUGCCACAUCUAUACGUCUUUUGAAUACCUUCAGGAAUGGCUACUCCACUACUUCCCUAGGCAACCUAUUUCUCCCUUUAAUUCAGAUAUUUAAGAUGCCCAUCUGCUUUUAUAUCUUGCUUACAGUCCAUGACUUUUUCUGUACCUUUUUUCCCCAAGUGGUACAGCAAAUACCUCUUAAUUCACCAUACUGGAACUGCAUCUGGAUUAAAAAUAGUUUGCAAUGGCAUCACUCUGUCUCAAGCCAGGAUUGUUUAAAAGCACAUUUGUCUUCUCCAGGAAAGCAAUCAACAUAUGCUCAUGUUGGCCCCGGGACCAUUUGUUCAACAAACAGGUAGAAUGCAGGAAUCUGGCUGCACAUGCCUUUCUCCAUGCAUUUUCCUUUCCCCUGAGGAGAAUUUGUAAUGUGUUUUAUCCCACAUAAAAAAAGCAAAUCUGGAAAUAACAGAACAUUUUCUUGAUUCACAACUCUAUAGGACUGGAGGAGCAUCUGCUGUGACAGGAGGUGAGCAUGGAGAGACCUACGUCAGAUAACUUCUAGACACAUUUGAGCUCCAUGUAAAAAAUGAAGACAAAUUUCCACUAUAAAUGUUUAUUUUCCUCAUCAUGAAUAAAGACCAUCUGAAAGCAGGAAAAAGCCUCCCACUGCUUUCGGUAGUGGCUUCUGAUCUCAGCUGUCUUCACCUAUCAAAACAAAACAGGAACAGGAAUAUUUUUGCAUCAAAAAGUUGGGACAAAAUCACCAAUUAGAAGUCAUGAAUGCAACAGAAUCACAUCUACACUUCUGCUUUGGGGGAGAGCUGCAAAAUCAGGGACCAGAGUCACAAUUAGUCAGUUUGAUCCUAAAACUUGAAUUUUAUUUUAAGGUGUUAAGGGGACGCCCAUAACUAGAAUGAAAACAAAACUUCCAAUUCUCUUUUCUUUGUUUCAGUUAAAGCUUGCAGAAACAUGGGACCAUGAAUGUAUUUUUCCUGGGCAGUUCCAGGAACCCCACCAGAACAGCAUAAAUAAUCAGAUGCUCAUUGUAGAAGGAAAAUGAGCUCACAAACCCAUAUAUCACAGAGCAAGAAGCAAAAACCAUGUGAAUUGCUGUCAAUAGUUAAAAAUCUCUAACUUUGAAAAUAUUGCAACAAAAAAAACUUUGAGCCUGAUCCCCACCCCCUUACAGAUUGUGCAGAACAUAAUGCAGGGUUUGGCUGCCUCUAACUAUAAUGUUAGGGUGGGAUUUUCAAAGAUGCUGUAUUUUGGCUUCAUUUCAAUUCUUAUGAAGGCAAUGGAAAAUUUCAGUGGGGUCCACACAUGGCUAAUGUGGAAAACGUUUGAGAGUCUUUAUAUUACCUCUUUUUCUAACCUUUUAUUUUGGCUGACCAAGCUUUGAGCACAUGGACACACUGAGCCAGGUCCAAGAAUAUUUUAUACCUUUUGGCUGCUGGUUGUGGGCUCCUGAAAGGAGAUGGGGCAUCUGGAAACUUUGCUGAUCUGAUCUUUGGAGGCUGAAUUUGAAACUCUGUGUUCCUACCACUACUAGUCUGAAGAUGAAAAUAGUUACAUUAACAGUGUAAUAUUCAAGAUAAAUGGUUUUCUUUGCUGAGUUUGAUACUGCACUCCUUGCUGUCACUUAAUUUCAUCUCAUCCCAUUCAGGAUGCCAGAUUCAAUUUGGUUUUGCCAAAGAUCAGUUUGAGCUCUCACUGAUAUGAACUCUGGUGAAUUUUGACUUUGAUCAGAGGUUAAUGAACUCAGAGUAAACAACUGUCACCAAUCUACAGUUUCCGGAUCUUCCGAUACAACAGCUAUUUGUAUUGAUAACAUAUAGAAAAUUUGGUCUCAUGCCUGUCAAAGAACUUUGGGUAUAAGACAUACCCAUAGUAUGACUAUCACAUCAUCUCUCCCAAUACUUCACCCCAAAAUAGGCAGCUGCUCUAUUUAACUGCAUUACAGACCUGGCAGGCACUGAACUGCCUUGUCAGUAUGGAGUAAAUGAGCCCAAACUCUCCCCAAACUUGCAAAUAUUAAUUCAUUAAUAAGCAAUAACACAAAGUUAUAUGAGAGGGGAAAGACAUUGGCAAAGUCUUCUUCACUCAUGAGCAGAAGUGACUUAAGGUGGUGAGCCCAGGUUGCCAGGUGGGAAAUGCUACAGAGCAAGGCAUAGCAUGUUGUCCAUGUUUCCCCAAAAAUUAUGGAUUGAGCCUGGUGAAAGGGCUCAGAGGUGCCUCUAUGGAGUCACACCAGGAUACCUGGAGCUCAGCAGCACCUUGGAACUGGGAGGACUUCAAGGAAGGCUGCAGAGAGGAGCAGGGAGAUACAGUGCAAGGAUAACUGAAUCCAGUUUAACCUGUUAUGACGUUGAUGCACUUGUGAAAUACAAGCAUUUCACUGCACAGAGAUGCCCUGCUCCCCUGAGAACACAAAGACAAGGAAAUUUCUUUCCCUCUUUUUUGUGUUUACUUUAUAGUAAUACUCAAAAGUGUUCACUAAGCAAUGCUUAAAAGUAACAGUGCAAAAAGUUAUUCUAACUGAGUCCGUGAAUCAGAUGUAAUGACCUCAGCACAGAUCAGGACCUAAUGCAUCAUCAGUCAGAUCUUAGCCAGCUGAGAAAAGGAGUCAUUUACUUGAUGUGAGCAACUGAAUUUUUCUCUCUUAAAAGUUGCUGUGUGCAAUACUGCUGGAAUCUGGGGCUGGUGAAACCAAAGGAUGAGCACUAAAACAUUAUGUCUGACUUUUGAGUGAUAUGUCUUCUCUUCAAAGAUUAACCAAAUCUUCAGAAUUCAUGUCAAAGCAAUACAAUUUCAAACCAAGGAAAUUCGGUUUUCCAGCGAUUUUGUUCUGCAUAGUUUAAAAAUCAUGUAAACAGUAUUAGUUUCCUAUUUACAGCACAUAAUUCUGUACUCUUUUGUUUAUCCUCUUUUAAACAUGUAAUUACUGUAUAUUGUAAUGCACAUUAAUAUCCUCUAUUGUACAUAGUUUAUUUUAACAAAAUAAAUGUAUUACUAAGAUCGGAAGACACAC